AGAGUUUGAUCCUGGCUCAGGAUGAACGCUAGCUACAGGCUUAACACAUGCAAGUCGAGGGGAAACGACAUCGAAAGCUUGCUUUUGAUGGGCGUCGACCGGCGCACGGGUGAGUAACGCGUAUCCAACCUGCCCACCACUUGGGGAUAACCUUGCGAAAGUAAGACUAAUACCCAAUGACGUCUCUAGAAGACAUCUGAAAGAGAUUAAAGAUUUAUCGGUGAUGGAUGGGGAUGCGUCUGAUUAGCUUGUUGGCGGGGUAACGGCCCACCAAGGCGACGAUCAGUAGGGGUUCUGGAGAGGAAGGGUCCCCCACACUUGGAACUGAGACACGGUCCAAACUCCUACGGGAGGCA
rnacentral:rRNA from 1 species